GCGCCGCUAGCUCAGUUGGUAGAGCAGCUGACUCUUAAUCAGCGGGUCCGGGGUUCGAGUCCCUGGCGGCGUACCA
rnacentral:tRNA from 1 species